CCACAUGUCCACUGUUGACACGCCUACUGUGUGAUGACCACAUGUCCACUGUUGACACGCCUACUGUGUGAUGUGGCCAUUUCCUAAGCUCUUGGCUAUCAGAACCAGGGCUCUUCCAUCGUGGAAUCAAUGUACUUUAGAUCUCAGUGCCUACCCAGAAGCCCAUUGCAUAAGGAAACACUUCAGAAGCCUGCCAGCCUUGCCAAGACAGCUCGGACCCAGCACAGUGAUCUCCAGGCUCAGGUAGAUAAACAGACUGUGACGCAUCCACUCCAUUGAAUCCUCCUCAGCAGUAAAAGAUGCCUUCAUUACAUGCCUGUGGAGUACUCUGAACUGCUGAAGAAAUGGAGGCUUGGGAAGAUGUCCAGGACUACCCAACAGGGUUCAGAGGCCACCAGAACUCAUAUCUUGCCCCCUGCUUGAGUCCCAUGUAGGGCCACCCAUUGGUAGGACUACAAUAAGAGCCCUGAUAUGGGCCUCAGGGUAGUUUGGGGACAGCUGGCUUCCUUGGUUUUGUUGAGCCCUUCACCUUCAACUCUCCAUCCUGUCAUGCUGGUUUCCUCCACCCACGUGACUUCACCCUAGACUCUCAGGCCCUGAAGCUCUGGGAAACAAGACAGGUAUGUUCCCCAUUCUGCGUGUGGUUGAGGGACAUUAGGCAGUUUGUCCAAGUUAACUUCCCAAUAACUGUAAGAAAAAAAAUACAGGCAAUUUCACUAAUCAUUAAAACUACAAUGAGAUCCCCCCCACCCCAGUACUGCCAGAAUUGCCAUUAAGAAACAAACAACAGGGGCUGGGGAUUUAGCUCAGUGGUAGAGCGCUUGCCUAGGAAGCGCAAGGCCCUGGGUUCGGUCCCCAGCUCCGAAAAAAAAGAACCAAAAAAAAAAAAAAAAAAAAAAGAAACAAACAAACAACAAAGAUUAGCAAGGAUGUAGACACAAUGACCACUUACACUCUGUUGGUGGGAAUGUAAGCUAGUAACCACUGUGGAGCUCAGAAUGGAGGCUUCUCAAACAACUAAAAGCAGCUCUACCACUGCUCGGUAUUUACUAGAGGAGCUCCAAGUCAGCAUAUCCCAGGGACACCUGCAGCCUUACUCACAACAACUAAAUUACAAAAAGAAUGAAGCAAUGCUGUUUGCAGGCAAAUGGAUGCAAUCAGAGAUGUCCGGAUUAAAUAAAUCAGGCAGUCUCAGAAAGGCUAACACCAAUGUUUUCUCUCAUUUGUAGUUCUUACAUUAUAUACAGAUUCAUAAACCUAUGUACAUACAUACGACAUCAAAGUACAAGUUAAACUGUAGGGGACAAAGAUAACUACCAGGAGGGGAGGGAAGAGAAAGGAGAAGGCAGGGAGUGGGAGAAAUAUGCUCAAUAAUUACAUGAAAUUCUUUUUAAUAAUAAUAAAAUAGGGGUUGGGGAUUUAGCUCAGUGGUAGAGCGCUUGCCUAGGAAGCGCAAGGCUCUGGGUUCGGUCCCCAGCUCCGAAAAAAAGAAUAAAAAAAAAAAAAAAAUCCAAUAAUAAAAUAGAAGUAAUG